rnacentral:rRNA from 1 species
ACUACGGGUGGCAGCAGUGGGGAAUAUUGGGCAAUGGGCGCAAGCCUGACCCAGCAACGCCGCGUGAAGGAAGAAGGCUUUCGGGUUGUAAACUUCUUUUGUCAGGGAAGAGUAGAAGACGGUACCUGACGAAUAAGCCACGGCUAACUACGUGCCAGCAGCCGCGGUAAUACGUAGGUGGCAAGCGUUGUCCGACUUUACUGGUUGUAAAGGGCGGUUAGCCUGGUUGAAAAGUCAGAUGUGAAAUCCUGCGGCUUAACCGCAGAACUGCAUUUGAAACUGUGGAUCUUGAGUACUGGAGAGGCAGAUGGAAUGCCUAGUGUAGCGGUGAAAUGCGUAGAUAUUAGGAGGAACACCAGUGGCGAAGGCGGUCUGCUGGACAGCAACUGACGGUGAGGCGCGAAAGCGUGGGGAGCAAACAGGAUUAGAUACCCUGGUAGUC